rnacentral:lncRNA from 1 species
CCUUUUUGAUAAAUGUAGGGAGCAUAAUGAACGAUCUUGAUUUAUAAAGAGCUUCAUGUUAUAAUUAUCAAGAUCAUGAUUUUAAUAAUUAUUUUCUUUAGCAAAGAAUCACAAAAGCACUUUAUUUUUGCAUAAGAAAUCUCAUUGUAUUAUGAUUUAUAAAUUCUUUCUCUACACAUGAAUCAUAGGAUAUAUGUAUGUGAAACAAAUCUUUGCAAGUAAAAACACUAUCAUUCAUAUUUCAAGAUGGAAUUUAUAAGCAGGAAUCAUUUCAUCAAAUCCAUUUCAGAAAAAUAUUUUUCAUAUAAUAAGUGUAUG